UGGGGAAUAUUGCACAAUGGGCGAAAGCCUGAUGCAGCGACGCCGCGUGAGGGAUGACGGCCUUCGGGUUGUAAACCUCUUUCAGUAGGGAAGAAGCGAAAGUGACGGUACCUGCAGAAGAAGCGCCGGCUAACUACGUGCCAGCAGCCGCGGUAAUACGUAGGGCGCAAGCGUUAUCCGGAUUUAUUGGGCGUAAAGAGCUCGUAGGCGGUUUGUCGCGUCUGCCGUGAAAGUCCGAGGCUCAACCUCGGAUCUGCGGUGGGUACGGGCAGACUAGAGUGAUGUAGGGGAGACUGGAAUUCCUGGUGUAGCGGUGAAAUGCGCAGAUAUCAGGAGGAACACCGAUGGCGAAGGCAGGUCUCUGGGCAUUUACUGACGCUGAGGAGCGAAAGCAUGGGGAGCGAACA
rnacentral:rRNA from 1 species